UGCUCUCUUACCCUUCCUAG
rnacentral:miRNA from 1 species